AUUAUUUAAAAGUCAUACAUUUACUGUACAUUGUCAACUUUCUGCUAUUUUUUUGGUUCUCACAACAGCUAGUAAUAUCAAACAAGAGCUAAGUUAAGUAUGAUCAAUUAAUUAAAGUUUUGAUUUUUUGUAUAAAAUAAUCCUUAGAUAAUUAGUCUAUAAAGAAUAUUGGUUACUUCAAAUGGAAACUUGUGAUCAAAAGUGUAUCUUGAAGUGACACUAUAUGAGAAAUCUGAAAUAGAAUUUGCAAACUUGAACUGGGUUACAGAGAGUUAAUAAGACCCCAAAGAAACAUGGAAACUAUUUUUAUCUAGGAAACAAUCCAUAGCGAAAACAAAAUUAACUUUCCUAACUGACUAGAAUUUAACUCAAGGAAAAUUAGAAUAUACGACGUUGUAUCACAUACGGUAUUUAGACAUCAAGAAAAGAAUCCCUCUAUCUGUGAACCACACUUGCCAGGAAAUUAACACCAGGGGAAUACCACCACCUCAUACUAUUUCUUAGGUGUCUCAGAGUUUGAUGAGGACUUCCAUGCUGUGUCUCUUCGACAGGCAGCAAAAUUGGGCAAUUGACUACAUCAACUCCAACAAAUUUAUGCAGCCACCUUCCUCCGGACUAUCCUCUUUCUUCGCGCUUUAGUUGCCCUUAUUUCCCCUUUAAUAGAGUCAACAUUAUCUUGUUUGAUGCCAAGGAGACCAAGCCCAGAAACAAUGGCAUUCUUUGAUAUCAACCACCUGGGGACUUUUGAGCUGAGCCAUGACAUCCUGAGAUGGCCUGUUGUGUAAGCCUUCUUCAAAAGGUCAUCCGUUAAUCUUUCUCCUAAUUAGACAUUCAAAACCCUGCAUGGAAUCGAUUUGAGAAGUUGGACAAUAGACAAACUCCAACACAUAUAGACAGUAAAGAAGAAUUUAGACCGCAAUCACUGUGGCUCAACAAAUGGGCCUAUUAAGCCUAUUAAAAGUUGGAACCAUAUUCACCACUCGCAUUUCCUUAAGAGAGCUAUACCAGAAUUCUGUAAAUUUAAAACUUUUCUUACAUAAUUAAUUGUAAAACAAGAGAAAUUGUACUUCCGUAGCAAAGUCUCACUAUUGGUAAGUAUCUGGACUUGGAAAGGAUGCUAGUUGAUGAAGUAAAGGAAAAUUGAAAUCAGACUUUGAGGUGACAGAUCUAUACACUUCAAUAGGAACAACAUUGACAUCAUAUGAGACAAAUAAACAUUCCCCAGUCAAAGUUUAACAAACAAAACAUUAAAACAAGAGUAAGUUGGUCUAUCAAUGUAUAUAUAGACAUGUCGAUCAAUAGACAAAUACGUAAAAGAGGGAGGGAGAGACCUCAAAGCCGUGCUACUCCAAUAACUUCAAAAUUGUUGGUGACCACUCUAUCAAAUCCAUGCAAUAGUUGCAUACACUCACCGAUGGGUUUGUCACAGAUAACCUGUUAGGCAUUAAAAAUUGCCCAAAUUAAACAAAUGUUAGACCAGCUUAGACAGUAAACGGAACAAUAUUCUAAUUUUACUUUAUUUAUAACGAAUAAGUGAACAAAGGAAUAAAAAGGAAGUUUGGCAAAGAAUCCCGCAGCUAAUCCCACCAGACACCGCUCUGCAGGCUUAUUCGGGAGUCAAAAUUCUCAAAAUGUACUAAGAAAUGACAUUUGUUUACUAAUCCCACCAACAAGGAGGAAGUGACGUGAAGAGAAUUUACUAAGAAAUGCCAGUGUAUUAAUAUUGAAGGAAAACAUUCACUGACGACCAAAAUCGCUGAUAUAUGCUUAAUUUCUCACUCACUAAGAACGUUCAAUUCAUUCAAAUGAAACUUCCACAGGAAGGUCUCAUUAUUAAGGCUUUAGCUUCACCUCACAUGCUCAAUAAUUCAAAUUUGAGGAUGAUAUUUCUCCAAAUGGAGGGCUCUAUUUGGCUUGCCAACAAUCUUACUCACAACUAUCAUCCUUGCUAUAUCGGUUGCACUGAGCAAUCUUCAUUCUGACAUUUGCCCUAUUAACCUGAGUACACN
rnacentral:lncRNA from 1 species